CCUACGGGAGGCAGCAGUGGGGAGUAUUGGACAAUGGGGGCAAACCUGAUCCAGCAAUGCCGCGUGAGUGAUGAAGGCCUUAGGGUUGUAAACCUCUUUCGGCGGGGAAGAUGAUGACGGUACCCGCAGAAGAAGCCCCGGCUAACUUCGUGCCAGCAGCCGCGGUAAU
rnacentral:rRNA from 1 species